AUACGGAGGAUCCGAGCGUUAUCCGGAUUUAUUGGGUUUAAAGGGUGCGCAGGCGGGAGAUUAAGUCGGCGGUGAAAUUUUGCAGCUCAACUGUAAAAGUGCCUUCGAAACUGGCUUCCUUGAGUGUAGAUGAAGUAGGCGGAAUUUGUGGGGUAGCGGUGAAAUGCAUAGAUAUCACGAGGAACUCCGAUUGCGCAGGCAGCUUACUAAACUACUACUGACGCUCAGGCACGAAGGCGUGGGGAUCAAACAGGAUUAGAUACCCUGGUAGUCCACGCAGUAAACGAUGAUUACUAGCUGUUUGCGAUACAAUGUAAGCGGCUGAGCGAAAGCGUUAAGUAAUCCACCUGGGGAGUACGUUCGCAAGAAUGAAACUCAAAUGAAUUGACGGGG
rnacentral:rRNA from 1 species